ACGAACGCUGGCGGCGUGCCUCAUACAUGCAAGUUGAGCGCUGAAGGUUGGUACUUGUACCGACUGGAUGGGCAGCGAACGGGUGAGUAACGCGUGGGGAAUCUGCCUUUGAGCGGGGGACAACAUUUGGAAACGAAUGCUAAUACCGCAUAAAAACUUUAAACACAAGUUUUAAGUUUGAAAGAUGCAAUUGCAUCACUCAAAGAUGAUCCCGCGUUGUAUUAGCUAGUUGGUGAGGUAAAGGCUCACCAAGGCGAUGAUACAUAGCCGACCUGAGAGGGGGAUCGGCCACAUUGGGACUGAGACACGGCCCAAACUCCUACGGGAGGCAGCAGUAGGGAAUCUUCGGCAAUGGACGAAAGUCUGACCGAGCAACGCCGCGUGAGUGAAGAAGGUUUUCGGAUCGUAAAACUCUGUUGGUAGAGAAGAACGUUGGUGAGAGUGGAAAGCUCAUCAAGUGACGGUAACUACCCAGAAAGGGACGGCUAACUACGUG
rnacentral:rRNA from 1 species